UCGGGAAUUUUGGGCAAUGGGCGAAAGCCUGACCCAGCAACGCCGCGUGAAGGAUGAAGUAUUUCGGUAUGUAAACUUCGAAAGAAUAGGAAGAAUAAAUGACGGUACUAUUUAUAAGGUCCGGCUAACUACGUGCCAGCAGCCGCGGUAAUACGUAGGGACCAAGCGUUGUUCGGAUUUACUGGGCGUAAAGGGCGCGUAGGCGGCAAUUCAAGUCAUCUGUGAAAUCUCCGGGCUUAACCCGGAACGGUCAGAUGAUACUGCUUUGCUAGAGUGCAGAAGGGGCAAUCGGAAUUCUUGGUGUAGCGGUGAAAUGCGUAGAUAUCAAGAGGAACACCUGAGGUGAAGACGGGUUGCUGGGCUGACACUGACGCUGAGGCGCGAAAGCCAGGGGAGCAAACGGGAUUAGAUACCCCAGUAGUCCCUGAGCGGGCUGGCAAGGCGCAU
rnacentral:rRNA from 1 species